rnacentral:rRNA from 1 species
UACAGAGGGUGCGAGCGUUGAUCGGAAUUACUGGGCGUAAAGGGCUCGUAGGCGGCCAACUAAGUCAUACGUGAAAUCCCCCGGCUUAACCGGGGAACUGCGUCUGAUACUGGAUGGCUUGAGUUCGGGAGAGGGAUGCGGAAUUCCAGGUGUAGCGGUGAAAUGCGUAGAUAUCUGGAGGAACACCGGUGGCGAAGGCGGCAUCCUGGACCGAUACUGACGCUGAGGAGCGAAAGCCAGGGGAGCAAACGGG